UGGUACUGUGCUCUUCAUGUAGCCCAUGUUUCACGUGGCUCAUCUCAAACACCUUCAGCCUGAGUGCAGCAGCCAGGGGCUGAGCUCACACCAGGCCCCAGCAGAAGGGUUCUACUGCAGCAGCCUGAAUCCAUACAAGCUGAGUCUCAUCCAAUAGCUCAUUGCUGAUGAAACUUGGAUCUGAUUUUAGUGACAAUAUAUAUAACAUGAAUUCUCUAGAGGUAAUCUUUACCCAGGCUGGUAAAAAUUAAGAGUUGCUUCCCUUUUCCCAGAAGCAAAUAUACCUUUUCAUGGUUUCACACAUUCCUGGGGUUACCUUUUGAACAUGUUUACCAAUGUUAUUAAUGUGUAAAGCUAUGUUGUGCAUUCUUAGAAGGAGGUUGUUCUCCUUCCACUGCAGAGCUGUGCAGAAAACCUCUCUCUGGAGAACCAAGAGGGAGAUGAUUUCUCUGCCCUGCUUCAUGCCCCAAAAGUGGUCCCUAAUCCACAGCUCCAACUAUUGCAGCAGGGCUUCAUAUCAGUCCUCGUGGCACUUCCAACCCUUGUGAGCACUGGGCAUUGUAUCAAUACUGGUAACUGUGUUAAGAUAAUACCAACUUUCUGUGUAUCCUUUGUUUCCUGCUUGCUUUCCCAGACUCUUGUUAUUUUGGCUCACUUGUGUUUCUCCCUUGGUCCCAGUAGUCCCUGGGUUUGUGGCUGACCUGUCACUCCUGUACACACUCAGAAGCAGAAAUGCUGAGCUGAGCAGCUGCAUCUCUUCAACUGUAUAUUUCCAGAAAAAGAAAGGAUACUUUGCUUCAAAGAAGCAUUCAAUACAGCAAUUGAACAUCAGUAUGAAGUUCCAAGCUAUAAGAAAGACUAAACCAGGUCAUACGAGCAGAACAUGAGGGAAGUGAUGAUCUGCUGAGGGGCUUUGGCUGCAAGUGGACUGAAUCUGAGGAUUCUGAGACAAAAAUAGAAGAUCCAAUGGAACUGAUGGUCCUUAUGUUCCUCGAGAGUGUUAUGGCCAAACUGGUAAGUGAAUAAUUUAAUUGUAUUUCUUAAAAGUGUGAGGGGCUGACAAGUAGUGACAUUAAACCUAAUGUGGGGAAUUACAUGUAUUCUGAGAAUGAGAAAAUUCUGGGGGUGUCAGUAAGACAUAAAAUUAAUUGUAUUUUCCUUUAAGUAAGACCAAAGCUGUUCUUUCUGAGAUAAAGAGUAAUCAGACCAAAUUACCAUUAACAGUGGAUCCCUGUGCAGCUUUAGUGAGGUAAGUUAUCCAUGUCAUAGUCUCAUUUACUGGAGAGUAUUGUCAUUGUUUUAGUUCCCUUCAAAUGUUACAUAUUUUAUUGAUGAACAAAUGUGUUCUUGUUCACUGUUUUAAAGCUGAUGUGUGCCAU